rnacentral:rRNA from 1 species
GGGGGGAUCGUAGCGAAGGCUACUUCAACCAUCGCGAACUCGUCCAAGUUGCUUCGGCGGCGCGGCACCCCUUAACGGGGGCGCCGCAGCCCUGCCUCUCCGGAGGUCCGGGGCGCCCGCCGGAGGUACGAAACUCUGUAUUAUAGUGGCAUCUCUGAGUAUAAAACAAAUAAGUUAAAACUUUCAACAACGGAUCUCUUGGUUCUGGCAUCGAUGAAGAACGCAGCGAAAUGCGAUAAGUAAUGUGAAUUGCAGAAUUCAGUGAAUCAUCGAAUCUUUGAACGCACAUUGCGCCCGGUAGUACUCUACCGGGCAUGCCUGUUCGAGCGUCAUUUCAACCCUCAAGCCCUGCUUGGUGUUGGGGCCCUACGGCUGCCGUAGGCCCUGAAAGGAAGUGGCGGGCUCGCUACAACUCCGAGCGUAGUAAUUCAUUAUCUCGCUAGGGAGGUUGCGGCGUGCUCCUGCCGUUAAAGACCCAUCUUUAACCAAGGUUGACCUCGGAUCAGGUAGGAAUACCCGCUGAACUUAAGCAUAUCAAA